rnacentral:rRNA from 1 species
CGUUAGCGGCGGACGGGUGAGUAACACGUGGGUAACCUACCUAUAAGACUGGGACAACUUCGGGAAACCGGAGCUAAUACCGGAUAAGAUAUCGAACCGCAUGGUUCGAUAGUGAAAGAUGGUUUUGCUAUCACUUAUAGAUGGACCCGCGCCGUAUUAGCUAGUUGGUGAGGUAACGGCUCACCAAGGCAACGAUACGUAGCCGACCUGAGAGGGUGAUCGGCCACACUGGAACUGAGACACGGUCCAGACUCCUAGGGAGGCAGCAGGG